rnacentral:lncRNA from 1 species
GAUUUAUUAUUUUUAUUUUAAUAAUUUGAGACAAUUUGAACUGCGUGUAGCAAACAAUGCAAUACUUCUAUCUUAUUAAUUUUGAUCCUAAGUAGGGAUAGUUUAAGCGCAGUUUGGUUAAAUCAGUUCAUGGUCAACGUAGCUACUUUUGACAAAUAUUUAUUGAGUACCAAACAUUAAUUAGCAUGGAGUGUUGGUCACUCAAAAGGAACUCUAACAAGGUUUUAUGUUUUAUACUAGAUGAGAUUAAAUUUUACAGAUACAACCAACUUAACAUCUUAAGUUGGUGUUUAAAAAAAAAGAAAAAAGAAAAAAAAAGAACAUUGAGUGAGUGUUAGUUUCCAGGUCCCUUGACAUUUUCUGAUGAAGAAAGCUCUCAGAGAAUUUGCCCCUCAGUUUAUUUAAAGCAGAUGCAAGCUAAGAAAAUUUUGAGUAAAAAAAAAAAUCUCUUAGAAAUGAAGCAAUGUAGGAUAUGGUAAAUUUUAUUUACACAAAAGAAAAAAUAACUCCUUUUAGUAGAAAAGCAGUAGUCUCCUAUAGACGCCAUGACGAGGUAAAAGAAUUUCUACUUUAUGAACAUUUCUUGUAGAAGGUUUUAAAAAAUAUUUUGAAAUAGCAUCACUGAUUUUGAGUGUAAUAAAAUCUUCAUGGCUCAUGGGUCUUUUAAAUCACUUGCUGUGAAGGCUUUAGGACCUGAGUUCAGAUCUCCAGCAUCCAUGUAAGAUAAGAUGAUGAUACGAAAAUGAUAAGAAUAAUGAUAGCAACAGCCAUAGCAACCUUGUAUAGCAAAGGUAUGUAAAUCCAGCACUGCAUGGGAGGACGCAGGCUGAUCCCCAAUACAUUGCAAACAGCUAUUCUAGCCAACUGGUGAGCUCUGGGACCAAAGAGAUGUGUCAUGUCAAAAAAAUAAGGUAGAGAAUGACUAAGAAAGAAAGUUGACAUCAAUCUCUCACUCCUGCCCAUAUGCUCAGGUGAAUGCUCUCCCCCAACCCUGCCACAUUCCUAAAUGCCAAAUAUUCUAUAGUAAUUUGAAUUUAUUAUCUAAUUAAGGGCAUACGAUUUAAGAAAAUUAAAUAUAACGAUCAGAUCCUAGCUCACUGACCCAAUAUUUGUAUGAAACAUAAUAUAAUUUGUUCUGUAAUGAAAUCUUGUUUGGGAAAAUUAGAACAGACUUGAACUCCUUUUGUGAACACUAGUCUCAGAGAUUUUAUAUUCCAGGACAAAGGAAGGAAGUUUCAGCACACUCUAACUGGAAGAGAAAUAACUAUGUUUUGUUUUGUUUUGUUUUGUUUUGUUUUGUUUUGUUUUAAUAUAAAGGCAGUCACAAGGAAAACACUAGAGAAUAAUGUAAGGUAUAAUAUAAUUUAAUUAUCAGAUUGAAAUUGGCGAAAUUUUAAUGAUACAUUGGAUUCUGUAUUCUAAAUAAUUUUACAUCUUGAAACAAGUAUGUUUUAAUAAUGAAUAAAUACUUUAAUAUUAAAAAGCUGUUUUGAUUUAACACUGUUUAUCCCCAAUAAAGUACUCCAUGCUGAUCAUACUCUAAGUAUCUAAGUACUCGAAGAUCUUAUUAACAAAUGCACACUUAUUUUAAUAAGUGAGUUGAUCACCUUGGAUUUUAUUUUCAGUGCCUUUAUACUGCAUAUUCAAUUUUCAAAUAUUUUGGCCACUACAAAAAUGUAGGUAGGAGGACAUCUUCUCUACAGACUAUUAGCUUGUUUCUUCAUCGGUAACUUGGACCCAGGUAUUAAUUUGGAAUGUUAUUCACCCGUGAUGUGAAAACAAGGUCGAUUGCUGUCCCUAUGCCGUUUUCUCCUUUUCCUCACAUCCUGCCUCUCAUCAACCUCAUUUUAACAGCAAUGCUUAGGGUUGCAGGAUCACACUUUCUGAGUUACAAUUAAAUUAGACCUUGUUGUGAUAUGAGCAUAAAUCCAGUCUUCCGUUCUUGUAUCUCCUUUCUGUCUAAGCUUGAUGGGAAGAUAAAGCAGGAUGUGAUAUUGUAUCUGAACCAGCUCAACAUUUGAUGCAUGUCAAACGCUUAAUCCUUAGAACUGUUGGUAUCCGGUCAGUAUUCUCAAUAGAUACCUACCUGUUAGGUCCUAGGCUGGGAAGUGAUGAUGCAAAGCAGACCAUUUACCUUCUUUGCCUUUAGGAAAUUUCAUUGUGGUGAUGAGAUGCCAGUGACUGGAGCCUUUUGGAUAUGCUGAAGGACCAAUACAGGGAGCUGAUGGGACUGGGGGGAAAAAUCUGUUAGCAAGGAAAAAAAUCUGUUAGUAAGGUGCUUACCUAGUAAAAAUGAAGGCCUGAAUUGGAUUCCAAACAAGC